UACGAGUACCCCGAGCGUUAUCCGGAAUUAUUGGGCGUAAAGGAUGUGUAGGUGGUUUUGUUAGUCGUGUGUUAAAGCCUGAAGCUCAACUUCAGAUCCGCAUACGAAACGGCAAGACUAGAGGUUGGGAGAGGUAAGCGGAACUCUAUGUGUAGGGGUGAAAUCCGUUGAUAUAUAGGGGAACACCAAAAGCGAAGGCAGCUUACUGGCCCACACCUGACACUGAAACAUGAAAGCGUGGGUAGCGAAUGGG
rnacentral:rRNA from 1 species